rnacentral:rRNA from 1 species
AUACGGAGGGAGCUAGCGUUGUUCGGAUUUACUGGGCGUAAAGCGUGCGUAGGCGGACCAUUCAGUUGAGGGUGAAAUCCCAGGGCUCAACCCUGGAACUGCCCUCAAAACUGGUGGUCUGGAGUAUGGGAGAGGUAGUGGAAUUCCGAGUGUAGAGGUGAAAUUCGUAGAUAUUCGGAGGAACACCAGAGGCGAAGGCGGCUUACUGGACCAUUACUGAUGCUGAGGCACGAAAGCGUGGGGAGCAAACAGGAUUAGAAACCCUAGUAGUCC